rnacentral:rRNA from 1 species
GACGAACGCUGGCGGCGUGCCUAAUACAUGCAAGUCGAGCGAAUCAAUAGGAGCUUGCUCCUGUUGAUUAGCGGCGGACGGGUGAGUAACACGUGGGCAACCUGCCUGUAAGAUCGGGAUAACUUCGGGAAACCGGAGCUAAUACCGGAUAAUCCUUUUCCACAUAUGUGGGAAAGCUGAAAGACGGUUUCGGCUGUCACUUACAGAUGGGCCCGCGGCGCAUUAGCUAGUUGGGGAGGUAACGGCUCACCAAGGCGACGAUGCGUAGCCGACCUGAGAGGGUGAUCGGCCACAAUGGGACUGAGACACGGCCCAGACUCCUACGGGAGGCAGCAGUAGGGAAUCUUCCGCAAUGGACGAAAGUCUGACGGAGCAACGCCGCGUGAGCGAUGAAGGCCUUCGGGUCGUAAAGCUCUGUUGUUAGGGAAGAACAAGUAUCGGAGUAACUGCCGGUACCUUGACGGUACCUAACCAGAAAGCCACGGCUAACUACGUGCCAGCAGCCGCGGUAA